GUUGGUGGGAAGCACUGCUCCUUGCCGGCUGCCUGGCGCAUGGGUGACGAGCGUUCCCAGCAGAAGCAGCCAGGACUGGUGGUCUACGGAAAAGAAAUCUGUGGCAGUAAUCAAAGGAGAGCUUGUCUCCUGAGCUUCCAUAAUUGGGAGAUGCAAGUUUGCGCCGUUCAUUAACCUAGAGAUGAGUGAUGCCAAACGGGAUCCUGGAGACUCUUGAAGCAAGGACGCAGGGGAAAGAAAAAAAAAAAAAGCAACAAACCCACCAUGUUCUGGAGCAGUUUCCAGCGUGUGCCGUCCCCGGGGAUUUGCUCAUGGAUUGUUGGGAGCUGCUUCCAGUGCCAGGCCCUGCGGUGGCAUUUAUUAAAAGAUACCUUCACUGCCAUUCGCCUUUUUUUUAUCAUCGCCGUGGAUUUAAUUGAAAUGAUGCGUCCCUCUCUCCUACAAUAUCAUGUUGUUAUGACACACGGUGUGCAGCUGUUCUCUCUGAUGCAAACAGGAAGUUUGGGAAUUAAAAAUGCUUUUCAAAUGGAA
rnacentral:lncRNA from 1 species